CCUACGGGAGGCAGCAGUGAGGAAUAUUGGUCAAUGGGCGAGAGCCUGAACCAGCCAAGUCGCGUGAAGGAUGACGGCCCUACGGGUUGUAAACUUCUUUUGUCAGGGAGCAAUUGGGUCCACGCGUGGGCUUAGCGAGAGUACCUGAAGAAAACGCAUCCGCUAACCCCGUCCCAGCAGCCGCGGUAAUACGGAGGAUGCGAGCGUUAUCCGGAUUUAUUGGGUUUAAGGGGUGCGUAGGCGGAAUAUUAAGUCAGCGGUAAAAAUUCGGGGCUCAACCCCGUCGUGCCGUUGAAACUGGUGUUCUGGAGUGGGCGAGAAGUAUGCGGAAUGCGUGGUGUAGCGGUGAAAUGCUUAGAUAUCGCGCAGAACUCCGAUUGCGAAGGCAGCAUACCGGCGCCCAACUGACGCUGAAGCACGAAAGCGUGGGUAUCGAACAGGAUUAGAUACCCGAGUAGUC
rnacentral:rRNA from 1 species